rnacentral:rRNA from 1 species
AUUGAACGCUGGCGGCAGGCCUAACACAUGCAAGUCGAGCGAGCGGCGGACGGGUGAGUAAUGUAUGGGGAUCUGCCCGAUAGAGGGGGAUAACUACUGGAAACGGUGGCUAAUACCGCAUACUAUCGGAUGAACCCAUAUGGGAUUAGCUAGUGGGUGGGGUAAAGGCUCACCAAGGCGACGAUCUCUAGCUGGUCUGAGAGGAUGAUCAGCCACACGGGGACUGAGACACGGCCCAGACUCCUACGGGAGGCAGCAGUGGGGAAUAUUGCACAAUGGGCGAAAGCCUGAUGCAGCCAUGCCGCGUGUAUGAAGAAGGACUUCGGGUUGUAAAGCACUGUUAGUGGGGAGGCGUUACCCGCAGAAGAAGCCCCGGCUAACUCCGUGCCAGCAGCCGCGGUAAUUC